UGGGGAAUAUUGCACAAUGGGCGCAAGCCUGAUGCAGCAACGCCGCGUGAACGAUGAAGGUCUUCGGAUCGUAAAGUUCUGUUGCAGGGGAAGAUAAUGACGGUACCCUGUGAGGAAGCCCCGGCUAACUACGUGCCAGCAGCCGCGGUAAUACGCAGGGGGCUAGCGUUAUCCGGAUUUACUGGGCGUAAAGGGUGCGUAGGUGGUCUUUCAAGUCGGUGGUUAAAGGCUACGGCUCAACCGUAGUUAGCCUCCGAAACUGGAAGACUUGAGUGCAGGAGAGGAAAGUGGAAUUCCCAGUGUAGCGGUGAAAUGCGUAGAUAUUGGGGGGAACACCAGUAGCGAAGGCGGCUUUCUGGACUGCAACUGACACUGAGGCACGAAAGCGUGGGUAGCAAACAGG
rnacentral:rRNA from 1 species